UGCCCAGCAACUCCUAUCCCUACCUCCUCGUGGUAGUAAACUUGGGGAAGAUCGGGUAAUCAACACCCGGUGGGUACUUUGUUCGUUUGCUGACAGGGAAGG
rnacentral:ribozyme from 1 species